rnacentral:rRNA from 1 species
CCCUUAGAUGUUCUGGGCCGCACACGCGCUACACUGAAGGAGGCAGCGUGUACUCCUGGAUCGAAAGAUUUGGGUAACCCGCGAAUCUCCUUCGUGCUAGGGAUUGAGGUUUGCAAUUAUCCUUCAUGAACGAGGAAUUCCCAGUAAGUGCAAGUCAUAAGCUUGCGCUGACUACGUCCCUGCCCUUUGUACAAACCGCCCGUCGCUACUACCGAUUGAAUGAUUUAGUGAGGACUUCGGACUGGGACCGAUGCGGCUUUCGGGCUGCGUCGGUAUUCUGGAAAGAUGUCCAAACUGUAUCAUUUAGAGGAAGUAAAAGUCGUAACA